CCUACGGGUGGCAGCAGUGAGGAAUAUUGGUCAAUGGGCGCGAGCCUGAACCAGCCAAGUCGCGUGAGGGAGGACGGCCCUACGGGUUGUAAACCUCUUUUGCCGGGGAGCAACGGGCGUCACGUGUAGCCGGACUGAGAGUACCUGAAGAAAAAGCAUCGGCUAACUCCGUGCCAGCAGCCGCGGUAAUACGGAGGAUGCGAGCGUUAUCCGGAUUUAUUGGGUUUAAAGGGUGCGUAGGCGGAAUGCCAAGUCAGCGGUAAAAUCGCGGGGCUCAACCUCGCUCCGCCGUUGAAACUGGCGUUCUUGAGUGGGCGAGAAGUAUGCGGAAUGCGUGGUGUAGCGGUGAAAUGCAUAGAUAUCACGCAGAACUCCGAUUGCGAAGGCAGCAUACCGGCGCCCAACUGACGCUGAAGCACGAAAGCGUGGGUAUCGAACAGGAUUAGAUACCCUGGUAGUC
rnacentral:rRNA from 1 species